UCGGGGAUCGUCUAACGGCAGGACAAAGGUUUUUGAAGCCUUGAAUCGUGGUUCGAUUCCACGUCCCCGAG
rnacentral:tRNA from 1 species